rnacentral:rRNA from 1 species
UCUGGUUGAUCCUGCCAGUAGUUAUAUGCUUGUCUCAAAGAUUAAGCCAUGCAUGUCUAAGUACAAAAAAAUUAAAAGUGAAACCGCAAAAGGCUCAUUAUAUCAGUUAUGGUUCCAUAGAUCGUUAACACUUACUUGGAUAACUGUGGUAAUUCUAAAGCUAAUACAUGCAAAAUAAACACGGACCUUUCGAAACAUGUGCUUUUAUUAAGCUAAAACCAAGCGAUCGCAAGAUCGUUAUAUUGGUUGAACUCUAGAUAACUUGCAGAUCGUAUGGUCCCGUACCGACGACAGAUCUCUCAAAUGUCUGCCCUAUCAACUUUUGAUGGUAGUAUAUAGGACUACCAUGGUUGCAACGGGUAACGGGGAAUCAGCGUUCGUUUCCGGAGAGGGAGCCUGAGAAACGGCUAUCACAUUUAAGGAAGGCAGCAGGCGCGUUAAUUACCCACUCCCAGUUCGGGGAGGUAGUGACGAAAAAUAACAAUAAAAGACAGGCCCUGUAAUUGGAAUGAGUACACCUUAAAUCCUUUAACAAGGACCUAUUGGAGGGCAAGUCUGGUGCCAGCAGCCGCGGUAAUUCCAGUUCCAAUAGCGUAUAUUAAAGUUGUUGCGGUUAAAACGUUCGUAGUUGAAUUUGUGCGUCAUACGGGUAGUACAACUAUAAUUGUGGUAUGUACAUUACCUUAUGUAUGUAAGCGUAUUACCGGUGGAGUUCUUAUAUAUAAUUAAUACAAUGUAUUGUUUAUAUAUUCCUCCUAUUUAAACCUGCUUCAGUGCUCUUCAUCGAGUGUUGCUGUGGGCCGGUACAAUUACUUUGAACAAAUUAGAGUGCUUCAGAUACCGCCCUAGUUCUAUUCAUAAACGAUGCCAGCUAGCAAUUAAGUGUAGCUUCUACUAUGGCUCGCUCAAUCGCUUCAAGGGAAACCAAAGCUUUUGGUCUCCGGGGGAAGUAUGGUUGCAAAGCUGAAACUUAAAGGAAUUGACGGAAGGGCACCACCAGGAGUGGAGCCUGCGGCUUAAUUUGACUNGUAGUGACGAAAAAUAACAAUACAGGACUCAUAUCCGAGGCCCUGUAAUUGGAAUGAGUACACUUUAAAUCCUUUAACAAGGACCUAUUGCCUGAAUAUUUUUUGCAUCUGUUCUACUUUCAUUGGUUUUUAGAUCAAGAGGUAAUGAUUAAACGAAGCAGUUUGGGGGCAUUAGUAUUACGACGCGAGAAGUGAAAUUCUUGGACCGUCGUAAUACUAACUUAAGCGAAAGUAUUUGCCAAAGAUGUUUUCAUUAAUCAAGAACGAAAGUUAGAGGUUCGAAGGCGAUCAGAUACCGCCCUAGUUCUAACCAUAAACGAUGCCAGCUAGCAAUUGGGUAUAGCUACUACUAUGGCUCUCUCAGUCGCUUCCCGGAAAACCAAAGCUAUUGGGCUCCGGGGGAAGUAUGGUUGCAAAGCUGUAACUUAAAGGAAUUGACGGAAGAGCACCACCAGAAGUGUAGCCUGCGGCUUAAUAUGACUCAACACGGGAAAACUUACCAGGUCCGACCAUAAGCAUGUGAGACAGAUUGAUAACUCUUUCUCGAAUCUAUGGGUGGUGGUGCAUGGCCGUUCUUAGUUCGUGGAGUGAUUUGUCUGGUUAAUUCCGAUAACGAACGAGACUCAAAUAUAUUAAAUAGAUGCUUUCAGGAUUAUGGUGUUGAAGCUUAUAUAGCCUUCAUUCAUGCGUGCAUCUAUGNCACCUAAAACACCAAUUUAUGCAAAUAUUUAACAAAUAGUAGAAAAAUAGGAAAUACUGUUUUUGUUGGACUAAGACGUUCGCAACUCGUAAAUGUUUGGGUUUAAAAUAAUAAUUUAUUGAAAUAUUUCUAAACUUUCAAUAAAUAAAAAUCUUGACUCUUCAUAAAAAGCAAACAAAAAUUAUCACUCUAAGCGGUGGAUCACUCGGCUCAUGGGUCGAUG